rnacentral:misc_RNA from 1 species
GAUGAAGAACGCAGCGAAUUGCGAUAAGUAAUGUGAAUUGCAGAAUUCAGUGAAUCAUCGAAUCUUUGAACGCACAUUGCGCCCCUUGGUAUUCCGAGGGGCAUGCCUGUUCGAGCGUCAUUAUAACCCCUCAAGCUCAGCUUGGUGUUGGGGCCUGCUGCACUGGCAGCCCUUAAAAUCAGUGGCGGCGCCAUCUGGCUCUAAGCGUAGUAAUUCUUCUCGCUAUGGAGUCCUGGUGGAUGCUUGCCAUCAACCCCCAAUUUUUCUAUGGUUGACCUCGGAUCAGGUAGGGAUACCCGCUGAACUUAAGCAUAUCAAUAAGCGGAGGA